rnacentral:rRNA from 1 species
GACGAACGCUGGCGGCGUGCUUAACACAUGCAAGUCGAACGGAAAGGCCCUGCUUUUGUGGGGUGCUCGAGUGGCGAACGGGUGAGUAACACGUGAGUAACCUGCCCUUGACUUUGGGAUAACUUCAGGAAACUGGGGCUAAUACCGGAUAGGAGCUCCUGCUGCAUGGUGGGGGUUGGAAAGUUUCGGCGGUUGGGGAUGGACUCGCGGCUUAUCAGCUUGUUGGUGGGGUAGUGGCUUACCAAGGCUUUGACGGGUAGCCGGCCUGAGAGGGUGACCGGCCACAUUGGGACUGAGAUACGGCCCAGACUCCUACGGGAGGCAGCAGUGGGGAAUAUUGCACAAUGGGCGGAAGCCUGAUGCAGCAACGACGCGUGCGGGAUGACGGCCUUCGGGUUGUAAACCGCUUUCGCCUGUGACGAAGCGUGAGUGACGGUAAUGGGUAAAGAAGCACCGGCUAACUACGG